AGUGAACGCUGGCGGUAGGCCUAACACAUGCAAGUCGAACGGCAGCACAGUAAGAGCUUGCUCUUACGGGUGGCGAGUGGCGGACGGGUGAGGAAUACAUCGGAAUCUACUUUUUCGUGGGGGAUAACGUAGGGAAACUUACGCUAAUACCGCAUACGACCUACGGGUGAAAGCAGGGGAUCUUCGGACCUUGCGCGAUUGAAUGAGCCGAUGUCGGAUUAGCUAGUUGGCGGGGUAAAGGCCCACCAAGGCGACGAUCCGUAGCUGGUCUGAGAGGAUGAUCAGCCACACUGGAACUGAGACACGGUCCAGACUCCUACGGGAGGCAGCAGUGGGGAAUAUUGGACAAAGGGCGCAAGCCUGAUCCAGCCAUACCGCGUGGGUGAAGAAGGCCUUCGGGUUGUAAAGCCCUUUUGUUGGGAAAGAAAAGCAGCAGGUUAAUACCCCGCUGUUCUGACGGUACCCAAAGAAUAAGCACCGGCUAAUUUCGUG
rnacentral:rRNA from 1 species